rnacentral:rRNA from 1 species
CACGCAGGCGGUCUUGUAAGUUUGACGUGAAAGCUCCCGGCUUAACUGGGAGAGGUCGUUGAAGACUGCAAGACUUGAGGCAAUGAGAGGGGUGUAGAAUUCCCGGUGUAGUAGUGGAAUGCGUAGAUAUCGGGGGGAAUACCAGUGGCGAAAGCGGCACCCUAGCGUUAGCCUGACGCUCAUGUGCGAAAGCGUGGGGAGCGAACG